AAGCAUUGGCGCAGUUUUUGAGUAUGACGGACUUGCUGGCUGCGAGAGCUACUAACAGCGGCGACGGCGCGGAGGGUCUUAUGCACGAAGUGAACCUUGGUUUCUCUCCUCCCUCCCUGCCAAUCCAUCAGAGUGCGUAUGAGAGAAUCGGUUCUUUUGUUUUUGCAUCUCGCUUCAUGGCAGCACUUGCAAAGUUGGAAGGAAU
rnacentral:lncRNA from 1 species